AUGCUGAACCUCGACAUCCAACGUACCUUCGACACGGUGUCCUGGGAGCUCCUGCUUGAGCUGCUGACCACAAGGGGUUUUGGGAGAAAGUUCACCAACUGCCUGGCUGCGCUCCUCUGUACCUCCUCCACGAGAAUUCUUGUCAAUGGUGAGCUCUCCGAGAGGAUUGAUCUAAUGAAGGGUCUCAGGCAGGGCGACCCCCUCUCCCCACUGCUGUUUGUCUUGGUGAUGGACUGCCUGGCAGUACUAAUUGACAAGGCAGUGAGCAUGGGGAUUAUG
rnacentral:rRNA from 1 species